CGGGGAGCUCCCAGACGGGGUCCGCUUCAACGGCCCCCUGGCUCCCUCCCCUCCCGCCGAGGGCGGAAGGGGGGACGCGGCCGCCGGAAAGGGGGCGGAGCCCAUAAAAGGGUCUGGCCCGCCCCCUCCCAAAAAAAGACCUAGCCGGUGGCGGCGUCUCCGGGGAGUCGUCUUCCUGCCCCGCCCCUCCGCCCCCUGGCUCCUUAAAGGCGCAGGCCUCCAGCCGGGCGCCCGCCGCCACCAUCUCUUGGGCCGCCGUGGGAGAAUCCCUUUAACCUGGGAGAGAACUUUCACUUUGCUACGUUGAACCUGUUGACGGAGCCCAGUCUUGUCCGACUGGCCUCGUGUAGGAGAAGGCUCUCACCUAUCUGUCUGACCAGAGAUUUUAAGCCCACCCAGGAAUGCGAAGCUCCAUCAACUUCAAGAGCUAGGUCAUUAAGGAGACAGAUCCCAGGGUUGGAACCAUAGAAGUUGUGGCACUCAGUGCAUGGCCAAGCUCCUUCCUGGAAGAAUGAGUAGACCUGGAUUUAUUUAUAGGGUGAGCCAGAGGCAACAGAAUCGCUACUAACCUGGGAAGAUGACCGGCACUCCUCCUGUGUUUUGCUUAUGUAGUGUGAAGUGAUAUUUUCCCAUUAUGAUGUUGGGAACAUCUCCAAUACUGUCAUCAUUAACUUGGCUAGUAGAGAGCCUCUCCUGAGGCAGAGCCUGUAUUUUCAGUCUGGCCUCAGUAUCUGGUCCUGCUACAGCAUGCACUCCCCGUCCUGUGCAUAUAAAGGCCCCAGACUCAGUCAGUAGAUGGGAAGAUGGCCGGACUUCAAGGAGACAACUGGACUUUGAGGAAGAGAUGGCUGGACUACAGAAGAGACGGCCUGACUUCGGGGGAAGAUGACUGGCCCUUCCUGUUUCCUCUCCAGCUCCCCUUUCUGCUGAGAGCUGUUUUCAUUGCUUAAUAAAAUUCUCCACCUUCAUCAUUC